AAUGGGAAGUACAACGAGUCGCGAAGUCGCGAGGCUAAGCUAAUCUCUUAAAGCUUCUCUCAGUUCGGAUUGCAGGCUGCAACUCGCCUGCAUGAAGCCGGAAUCGCUAGUAAUCGCGGAUCAGCACGCCGCGGUGAAUACGUUCCCGGGCCUUGUACACACCGCCCGUCACACCACGAGAGUUUGUAACACCCGAAGUCGGUGAGGUAACCUUUUGGAGCCAGCCGCCUAAGGUGGGAUAGAUGAUUGGGGUGAAGUCGUAACAAGGUAGCCGUAUCGGAAGGUGCGGCUGGAUCACCUCCUUUCUAAGGAA
rnacentral:rRNA from 1 species